rnacentral:rRNA from 1 species
UGGCGAACGGGUGAGUAACACGUGGGCAACCUGCCCAAAAGAGGGGGAUAACACUUGGAAACAGGUGCUAAUACCGCAUAACCAUAGUUACCGCAUGGUAACUAUGUAAAAGGUGGCUAUACUACCGCUUUUGGAUGGGCCCGCGGCGCAUUAGCUAGUUGGUAGGGUAAAGGCUUACCAAGGCAAUGAUGCGUAGCCGAAUUGAGAGGUUGAUCGGCCACAUUGGGACUGAGACACGGCCCAAACUCCUACGGGAGGCAGCAGUAGGGAAUCUUCCACAAUGGGCGAAAGCCUGAUGGAGCAACGCCGCGUGGGUGAAGAAGGUCUUCGGAUCGUAAAACCCUGUUGUUAGAGAAGAAAGUGCGUGAGAGUAACUGUUCACGUUUCGACGGUAUCUAACCAGAAAGCCACGGCUAACUACGUGCCAGCAGCCGCGGUAAUACGUAGGUGGCAAGCGCUAUCCGGAUUUAUUGGGCGUAAAGGGAACGCAGGCGGUCUUUUAAGUCUGAUGUGAAAGCCUUCGGCUUAACCGGAGUAGUGCAUUGGAAACUGGGAGACUUGAGUGCAGAAGAGGAGAGUGGAACUCCAUGUGUAGCGGUGAAAUGCGUAGAUAUAUGGAAGAACACCAGUGGCGAAAGCGGCUCUCUGGUCUGUAACUGACGCUGAGGUUCGAAAGCGUGGGUAGCAAACAGGAUUAGAUACCCUGGUAGUCCACGCCGUAAACGAUGAAUGCUAAGUGUUGGAGGGUUUCCGCCCU